rnacentral:ncRNA from 2 species
AAAGGGGUAGAUAUCUGCGCGUUAAGUGUGAGGGAGACGGAAUGUGAGCCUUCAACGAAAUAAAAAAUAUCAUGUGGGAAAACCACGUUUUAGUUUUUUGUGCGAUGCAGAUAUCACAUUCACCAAU